rnacentral:lncRNA from 1 species
CCCACUCCCGCGCCAUCUCCAGGAGGCUCUGCCGUAUCACCCCGGGCAGAAUGAGCCCAUCCAGCGGGGGGGUCACCAACUCCAGCCCCCCAUCCUCGCGGUGCCAGAAGACGAAGAGGUUCAUGGUGCCCACCUCGGUCAGCAGCCGCUGGGGGCCGUACAGCCACAGCACCUGCUGGCAGCCCAGCGCCUGCGCCUGCUGCUGCAGGGCAAUGGUGGGG